GACGAACGCUGGCGGCGUGCUUAACACAUGCAAGUCGAACGGAAAGGCCCUGCUUUUGUGGGGUGCUCGAGUGGCGAACGGGUGAGUAACACGUGAGUAACCUGCCCUUGACUUUGGGAUAACUUCUGGAAACUGGGGCUAAUACCGGAUAGGAGCUCCUGCUGCAUGGUGGGGGUUGGAAAGUUUCGGCGGUUGGGGGUGGACUCGCGGCUUAUCAGCUUGUUGGUGGGGUGGGGGCUUACCAAGGCUUUGACGGGUAGCCGGCCGGGAAGGGUGGCCGACCAGAUAGGAUGGGACUGAGGCCCGGAACACAAUCGGACGGGAGGGAGGGGUAGGGUAGAGUGGAGGACGGAGGCAUGCUUGAUCAAGCCGGGGGGCGUGAGUGCGGCUUGCGGUUGGGAACCGCUGUCGCCUGUGACGAAGAGUGAGUGACGGUAAUGGGUAAAGAAGCACCGGCUAACUACGUG
rnacentral:rRNA from 1 species